rnacentral:rRNA from 1 species
GAUGAACGCUAGCGGCAGGCUUAAUACAUGCAAGUCGAGGGGCAGCACUGGUAGCAAUACCUGGUGGCGACCGGCAAACGGGUGAGGAACACGUACACAAUCUUCCCAUGACUGGGGGAUAACCCGGGGAAACCCGGACUAAUAUCCCAUAGUAUAUUGUAGAGGCAUCUUUAUGAUAUUAAAGUUUUAAUGGUUAUGGAUGAGUGUGCGUCUGAUUGGGUAGUUGGCGGGGUAACGGCCCACCAAGUCUACGAUCAGUAGCUGAUGUGAGAGCAUGAUCAGCCACACGGGCACUGAGACACGGGCCCGACUCCUACGGGAGGCAGCAGUAAGGAAUAUUGGACAAUGGACGCAAGUCUGAUCCAGCCAUACCGCGUGGGUGAAGAAGGCCUUCGGGUUGUAAAGCCCUUUUGUUGGGAAAGAAAUCCAUCUGGUUAAUACCCGGGUGGGAUGACGGUACCCAAAGAAUAAGCACCGGCUAACUUCGUGCCAGCAGCCGCGGUAAAAC